rnacentral:misc_RNA from 1 species
GAUGAAGAACGUAGCGAAAUGCGAUACGUAAUGUGAAUUGCAGAAUUCAGUGAAUCAUCGAAUCUUUGAACGCAUAUUGCGCUCUCUGGUAUUCCGGAGAGCAUGCUUGUUUGAGUAUCAGUAAACACCUCAACUCCCUUUCUUCUUGAAAUGGAGCUGGACUUGAGUGAUCCCAACGCUUUAUUCAUAAAGUGGCGGGUUACUUGAAAUGCAGGUGUAGCUGGACUUUUCUCUGAGCUAUAAGCAUAUCUAUUUAGUCUGCCUCAAAACAGAUUAUUACCUUUGCUGCAGCUAACAUAAAGGAGAUUAGUUCUUGUGCUGACUGAUGCAGGAUUCACAAAGACCGCUUCGGCUGUCUUUGUAAACUCGAUCUCAAAUCAAGUAAGACUACCCGCUGAACUUAAGCAUAUCAAUAAGCGGAGGA